UCCCAAAUAGUUUAGGCGAUUAGGAUACGUGGUUUUCACCCACGCGACCCGGGUUCGAGUCCCGGUUUGGGAA
rnacentral:tRNA from 1 species